AUACGUAGGGGGCGAGCGUUGUCCGGAAUGAUUGGGCGUAAAGGGCGCGUAGGCGGCCCGGUAAGUCUGGAGUGAAAGUCCUGUUUUUAAGAUGGGAAUUGCUAUGGAUACUGUCGGGCUUGAGUGCAGGAGAGGAAAGUGGAAUUCCCAGUGUAGCGGCGAAAUGCGUAGAGAUUGGGAGGAGCACCAGUGGCGAAGGCGACUUACUGGACUGUAACUGACGCUGAGGCGCGAAAGUGUGGGGAGUAAACAGGAAUAGAUACCCUGGUAGUCCACACUGUAAACGAUGAAUGCUAGGUUUAGGGGGUAUCGACCCCUUCUGUGCCGCAGUCAACACAAUAAGCAUUCCGCCUGGGGAGUACGGCCGCAAGGUUGAAACUCAAAGGAAUUGACGGGG
rnacentral:rRNA from 1 species